rnacentral:lncRNA from 1 species
UUUUAUUUAUUUUCUCAAAAAUCCUUAACCAAAUGAUGUCGUUUCAUUUAGUUGAUUGAAAAACAUAAUUGAAGUGGGGGCCAUUGGUCUCCCGUUACCUCUACCUUGACACCAUUGAGUCCCCCAUUCCCUUUUGAAAACCAAUCAAAAAGCAAAGAUUUCCGUGUUUUAUUUUUUCUUAAUUUCUAAAUUUAUACUAUCCCUAACCCUAAUUAAUUAAUUAAUACAAAUUUUUGUUAAUUAAUAUAGAAUCAUAGAGUAAUACACUAAUAUAGUUAUUGAUUAGUGAUUAUAGUGAUGAAUCAUAUGAUUGAUUAUUGAUGAAUGAAAUUGUUUUUUAGGGUAAAAAUUGAAUUCUUGAUGAAGUAUUAAUUGAUUAUUGAUAUUGAUUAAUUGAAUUGAAUUUUGUUUUUUUUUGAAUAAUUUAUAUGAUUAUUGGUAUUGAUUAAUUGAAUUGUUGGUUUAAUUAGUUAGUUGUCAUAUAGUAUGUUGUACUCUAGGAUUAAGAGUCUAAGACCAGGAGGAAUUAGUGAUCUUGCAAAGGAGUUGGUGAAGAUUAGGAGGCGUGCAAGCUAUAUAUUAGUGUAUAAGCUUCUUACAUUGGUUUUGAUGUUACUGGUUGCAACCACUUCAGUGUAGAGAGUUUUGUCUACUAUGAAUAUUGUGAAAACACCAUUGCGUAACAAAGUGGGAGAUCAAUGGUUGAGUGAUGGCAUGAUUGUUUACAUUGAGAGAGUAUGAAAGACAUUACUAUAUUGAUAAAUUACAAAAGAUAUUAUGAUAUAAAAGGAUUUGGUUGUUGCUAUUUUUUUGAACCUUGCACUCUUUUAAGUUCGCCCAUCCCUCCGACAAUUCCCAGCUUCUCCAUUGGUUGUAGGGCCUAUUUAACUGGAGAGUUAUAGGAAGAGGGUGGCAAGCAUAGAGAGAAUUGGAUAAAUUAUGAGGUGUGUUUCUCACCCCCAUUGUGCCACUAUUUAUAUGAGUAGGGAACAUAAAUUUCUUACCCCAAUAGGAUUACAACUAUAAUAGGAUAAUAUCUAAAGACAUGAUAGAAUCCCAUAAGAAUAUCUAUGAUUUACACAAUUACAUUCCUAACAUAAGUAGGACUGCAACGCUCCUCCUUGAGUAUUGUAAAUACUCAAGUAAAUGGUGCAUCAGCUUUUCAACGAUGAAGUAAGUUUAGUUGAUGAAGUUGUUGGCAUAAUGGGCGAAUGCAUAAAAAGGGUAAAACUCACAAAACCUCAUUAUAGUAAAACCCAAGGUGGGGAAAAAACUCAUAGAUUAAGGAGAAACAUGAGAAGUUUGCAUUAAGUCAAAACUCUACGUCUUUUGGACGCAAGUAACAAGCUUCUUAAAACCUAGUUAGGUACCAAAAACCCAGUGGGAAAAAUGCUCCUAAUCGUAGGGAAAAUAGUACGUUAAGAUCAAGUGAGUAUACUUCUGGAUACUCCCCUUGAGUUUGACAAAACGUUCAAAUGAGAACUAUAUGAUCGUAAAUGAAUAGUUAGACAUACCAAUUCCUCAGACAAGCUUCUAGAAGGUAGACCUCGACAGUGACAUUGUGAAGAAGUCAAUAGGGUUGUCUGAGAUCAGAUUGCAUGACUUCAAUCUCCUAAUGCCUUGCUAAUGAGAUGAGGAUGAAAUAUAUCUUGUCGUGGACUUCGUUGAUGUAUCAAGUCUUGGUGUGGUUGAUACAUACAAGAUAGUCUUUAUAGGUCGUUGUUUGGGACUCAACAAUGGAUGAAAACAACAGGUACUUCAAAUAUGCUUAACAAGAGCUCUCAACCAUGUCUCACGUGUAGUAUAGUGAAGUGUGGUGGGCCUUGGAACAAUUUGAAGUUUUCACAACUAGGGUUAUGUCAUGGACCUCCAAGAUAUUGUGAUAUCCCUAAUGGUAAUGACAACCAUUUGGGGAAUAUGCCUUGUGUGGAUUUGAUACGUAACUAGCAUCAGCAUAACAAGCAAGGUAAACAUCAUACGAGGAUCAUAGAGGUUAGAUCCGCUCGGGAUGUGUAGGGAUAAGCCCAAAUCUAUAGCAUCUUCAAGUUAACGGAAAAACUUCUUUAAUACCAUUUCAGUGGUUGCGUGUAGGCACAGUGCUGGAUCUUAACCAAUAUAUCAACAACGAAGGAGAUGUCCUGUCUAACGCAAUAGCUAAGUGCAAAAAGCACAAAGUUGAACUCUGUUGAUGCACAAAAUCAGUGAGGACUUUGAUACAACAUAAAGUGUUAAGAUUGUGACCUUCGCUAGAUUGCUCCGGUCACUAGUGUGGAUAAGUAUGUAAAUGGAUAGAGACAGGAAAGCAAACACAAGAUGUACGUGGUUCACCCAGA